rnacentral:tRNA from 1 species
GUGGCUGUAGCUCAGCUUGGUUAGAGCGCCAGUUUGUGGCACUGGAGGUCGUGGGUUCAAGUCCCAUCAGCCACCCCA